rnacentral:rRNA from 1 species
CACGCAGGCGGUCAAUUAAGUCAGAUGUGAAAGCCCCGAGCUUAACUUGGGAAUUGCAUCUGAAACUGGUUGGCUAGAGUCUUGUAGAGGGGGGUAGAAUUCCAUGUGUAGCGGUGAAAUGCGUAGAGAUGUGGAGGAAUACCGGUGGCGAAGGCGGCCCCCUGGACAAAGACUGACGCUCAGGUGCGAAAGCGUGGGGAGCGAACA